rnacentral:tRNA from 1 species
GCCUGGGUGGCUCAGUUGGUGAGGCGUCUGAUUUUGGCUCAGGUCUUGAUCUCACAGCUGGUGGGUUCGAGCCCCACAUCGGGCU